GUUGUCGUUUGUUUAUGUGUUACAUAUUUGUUUUUCGUUCAUUUGUUUUUUUUGUUAAAUAAGGCCGUUAGUUUUCUCGUUUGAAUUGUUUUACAUUGUCUUAUCGGGGCCUUUUAUAGCUGACUGUGCGGUAUGGGCUUUGCUCAUUGUUGAAGGCCGUACGGUGACCUAUAGUUGUUAAUGUCUGUGUCAUUUUGGUAUCUUGUGGACAGUUGUCUCAUUGGCAAUCAUACCACAUCUUCUUUUUUAUAUACUCGCCUGGAAACCAAGCUUGAUACCUGGACAAGCGUUUCUGGUCACUUGCAUUCGUGACCAGCUAACAAUAAACAUCUAUUUUUAUACAAGCUUGUUCUUAUUCCAGUAUUCUAAGUUCCAGUUCAGUGCAGUUCCAGCACACGUUCACACAAGCAGUACACGGUCACCCA
rnacentral:lncRNA from 1 species